AUGAUGCGAGCCCCUGUUGGAGUGUGUGAACUCUCUUCUGCCCACUCUGUGCCUAGUGAAAGAGAGCAGGAAUGGGGAGGAGGGAGAAACAGAGAGAUGAGACAGAACUGGUGGGGUGUUCAUUUCUCCAUAGUCUGGCCGAGGAAGGGAGAUGAAAGGCACAACACUGAUACAGAGGGGGAGGGGAAGAGCGUAUAUCUUAGUACGCAACACAUUCUUCUGGCUUCUGCCACUGAUUGCACGACUAAAAGGAUCAAUCGACAGCUAUGGAGAAGAUUUGAGUAAUUCUCCACAAAAACCCUCGCCCUUCUCGCGUGCUCCAAGCUGGAUCAAUAAGAUCUUUAAUGAAUUGAAAAUGAAUGGUUUAAACACGCACUGAAGAGCAAACAAAAGUUAGACGUUAUCUCUGAGUUAAUGCCUGCUUAGAUGUUCUUCAAAGAAUCAUAGGACACAGUAAAAAUGAUUUAAUUAUCCACAAUUGUAUCACACACUUGAAUAAUUCCCCCCUUUGAAUAUUUGAUACAUGUGAUUAUUUACAGUUAAUUUGAUUUCAACACAGUCGUUAACUUGUUAAACUCAGGGGAUGGUAAGUUUCGACCAUGUUUACAAUUUUAUUGAAAUGAGGUGUUAAUUAAAGCCUGUCUGAAUUUGCUGCAGUUUAUCUUUGCCUCUUGCCACAGCCCUCUCUCCAUUCAAUCUCUCUCUCCAUCUCUCCUCCCCCCCCGUCUCUCUUUUUCUCCAUCUCUCCUCUUUUAUUGUGAGCCUGACUUCCUUGCUGAGACACUUUGAUAUUCCUUAGCAUUAAUCACAGCUACAUCUCCCCUUUCCUCUCUCUUUCCCUCUCUUCAACUCCACAUUGUCAAUCUUUUAUCUCCCUGCCGACAGUGGAGUAAUCAAUGAUAUGAAUAUUUUGCAACCACUGGCAAGGAAUUACCAACUGUACUGCACUGCAUCCUCGAGGGCUUGCGGUGUGUGUUUUGUUUGUUUUAGUGGAGUGAGAGAAUCUGUUUGAUAAGCCCUCAGGUAGAAGGAAAAGAGUUAUCAUAGCAAGCUGUAAUAUACCUGGGAGCAGAAGAACUCAUAACAUGUUAAUUUCUGCAAUUAAUUUUAGAUAUUAAUAUAAUUGUAUGACUCAUUAAAAAAAAUGCAAUGUACCUUUUGUAUUUUUUUUAUUAUUAUUAUUGUUUUCGCUUCCUCAGGCAAUGUUUUUUGAUUACUUCUCGUUAUAUUUUUAUAUAUUGAG
ensembl:lncRNA